CUACGUGCCAGCAGCCGCGGUAAUACGUAGGGGGCAAGCGUUAUCCGGAUUCAUUGGGCGUAAAGCGCUCGUAGGCGGUCUGUUAGGUCGGGAGUUAAAUCCGGGGGCUCAACCCCCGUUCGCUCCCGAUACCGGCAGACUUGAGUUUGGUAGGGGAAGGUGGAAUUCCUAGUGUAGCGGUGGAAUGCGCAGAUAUUAGGAAGAACACCAGUGGCGAAGGCGGCCUUCUGGGCCAUAACUGACGCUGAGGAGCGAAAGCUAGGGGAGCAAACAGGAUUAGAUACCCUGGUAGUCCACGCGGUAAACGAUGAAUACUAGGUGUUGGUGCCCGAAGGGCAUCGGUGCCGUCGCAAACGCAAUAAGUAUUCCACCUGGGGAGUACGUUCGCAAGAAUGAAACUCAAAGGAAUUGACGGGGACCCGCACAAGCAGUGGAGCAUGUGGUUUAAUUCGAAGCAACGCGAAGAACCUUACCAAAUCUUGACAUCC
rnacentral:rRNA from 1 species